rnacentral:rRNA from 1 species
AAUCAACGCUGGCGGCGUGCCUAACACAUGCAAGUCGAACGAGAAAGUGGAGCAAUCCAUGGGUACAGUGGCGACCGGGUGAGUAACACGUGAUUAACCUACCUUCGAGUGGGGGAUAACGCCGGGAAACCGGCGCUAAUACCGCAUAACAUCGCUUGGUGAAAUUCCUUGCGAUCAAAGGAGCAAUUCGCUUGAAGAGGGAGUCGCGUCUGAUUAGCUAGUUGGUGAGGUAACGGCCCACCAAGGCGAUGAUCAGUAGCCGGCCUGAGAGGGCGCACGGCCACACUGGAACUGAAACACGGUCCAGACUCCUACGGGAGGCAGCAGUGGGGAAUUUUGCGCAAUGGGGGAAACCCUGACGCAGCAACGCCGCGUGGAGGAUGAAGUCCUUUGGGAUGUAAACUCCCUUCGACCGGGAAGAUAAUGACGGUACCGGAGGAAGAAGCACCGGCUAACUCUGUGCCAGCCGCCGCCGUAAAAC